ensembl:misc_RNA Metazoa_SRP Metazoan signal recognition particle RNA
GCUGGGCGUGGUGGCUCACGCCUGUAAUCCCAGCACUUUGGGAGGCCGAGGUGGGCGGAUCACCUGAGGUCAGGAGUUCGAGACCAGCCUGGCCAACAUGGAGAAACCCCAUCUCUA